rnacentral:miRNA from 1 species
CGGAGUACGCCGAGGAGAAAAUUCUCGCUGGGGCCUCCAAAUGUUAUGGUGCCCACGAGUUAAGGUACAAGACAGCCAAACGGAAUUUAAGAGAGCCUUUAUUAG